rnacentral:rRNA from 1 species
CCUGAGCGUCAGUCUUUGUCCAGGGGGCCGCCUUCGCCACCGGUAUUCCUCCAGAUCUCUACGCAUUUCACCGCUACACCUGGAAUUCUACCCCCCUCUACAAGACUCAAGCUUGCCAGUUUCAAAUGCAGUUCCCAGGUUGAGCCCGGGGAUUUCACAUCUGACUUAACAAACCGCCUGCGUGCGCUUUACGCCCAGUAAUUCCGAUUAACGCUUGCACCCUCCGUAUUACCGCGGCUGCUGGCACGGAGUUAGCCGGUGCUUCUUCUGCGAGUAACGUCAAUCGCUAAGGUUAUUAACCUUAACGCCUUCCUCCUCGCUGAAAGUACUUUACAACCCGAAGGCCUUCUUCAUACACGCGGCAUGGCUGCAUCAGGCUUGCGCCCAUUGUGCAAUAUUCCCCACUGCUGCCUCCCGUAGGAGUCUGGACCGUGUCUCAGUUCCAGUGUGGCUGGUCAUCCUCUCAGACCAGCUAGGGAUCGUCGCCUAGGUGAGCCAUUACCCCACCUACUAGCUAAUCCCAUCUGGGCACAUCUGAUGGCAUGAGGCCCGAAGGUCCCCCACUUUGGUCUUGCGACGUUAUGCGGUAUUAGCUACCGUUUCCAGUAGUUAUCCCCCUCCAUCAGGCAGUUUCCCAGACAUUACUCACCCGUCCGCCGCUCGUCACCCGAGAGCAAG